rnacentral:rRNA from 1 species
GACGUAGGACGCGAGCGUUGUCCGGAUUUAUUGGGCGUAAAGAGCUCGUAGGCGGUCUGUCGCGUCGGCUGUGAAAACUCGGGGCUCAACCCCGAGCCUGCAGUCGAUACGGGCAGACUAGAGUGCUGUAGGGGAGACUGGAAUUCCUGGUGUAGCGGUGAAAUGCGCAGAUAUCAGGAGGAACACCGGUGGCGAAGGCGGGUCUCUGGGCAGUAACUGACGCUGAGGAGCGAAAGCGUGGGGAGCGAACAGG